UGGACCUCAGRUCAGGCAAGAUCACCCGCUGAGUUUAAGCAUAUCACUAAGCGGAGG
rnacentral:rRNA from 1 species